CACUUCCACUAUCUCAUAGAUAGAUUAAAAGUCUCCAUAUUCUUUUGUAGUCGUUUUAAAAAAUAUAUUAAAAUUUAAAUAUUGACUAGAUUUUAAAACAUUUAAAACACAAUUUUUAUUUAUUUUUUUAUGACAUUUAUGUUUCAUUUUGUUUAAGUGCUGUGUGGGCAGUCACUAGAAAUCUGUGAUGGCGGUUGAAAUGAAAAAGUAUUAAAGAAAAGAAAAGUCAUAAGACGCAUAAUGGCGCUUUAGAAAAAACAGUGCUCAUGUGGUUUACUGAAAAACGUGAGAUUGGUUAACCGGUCAGUGGUCUACUGAUUUGCGAAAUAGCAUUAAUAUUAAAUAAACGAUUAAACGGCUCUGAAAAAUUCAAAGCCAGUACUGGAUGGUUUAAGUCUUUUAAAAAUCGGUAUGGCAUUCGGCAACUGUCGAUACAAGGGGAAAAGCUAUCUGCAAAUGAAGAAGGUGCAUUAGAUUUUUCUUUCAAAAUUUAAUUGAAACAGAAGACUACAGUUUAAACUGUGUAUUUAAUGCCGAUGAAAGCGGAAUUUUAUGGAAAAGUCUGCCAGAAGUCACUCUAGCUGCAGAUAAGGAACAGCGUGACUGUCCAGUUUCAUAUUUCAAUGUACACGUGCAUUCGACGAAAUAUCCCACCAAAGAUCUGACUUUGGCGAUUUUGUUUAUUUUAUCCCUACUCUCUAAAAAACUGUGUCGAACAAAGGGAUCUCUUAAUCUACACUUGAAAAAAUAUCAGUAUGCUCUUAGCCUUUAUUAAAAAAUGUACUCAUUUAUUUUAUGUCAAUAAAUACAUCUACAUUUUUGAUUUACCUCAUUAAAUAAUAAAUUAUGUGUUAGUGCAUUAUAA